CUGAACCGGGGUAAGCGUGUAGGAGGAGGACCAGGCAAAUCCGGGCCUCACAUACUCUGAGACGUGAUACCGAGCCGCUUCAGGCGAAGUCAUUAAUCCUAUGCUGCCUAGAAAAGCCCAGUAGCGAGUUGACAUGGUGCCCGUACCCCAAACUAACACAGGUGGACAGGCAGAGCAUACCAAGGCGAGUGGGAUAACUAUGGUUAAGGAACUCGGCAAAUUUCCUCCGUAACUUCGGGAUAAGGAGGACCCCAGUAGCGUGACGAGACUUGCUCUCCGAGCGUGAAGGGGUGGCACAAAAUUGAGGGAAGCGACUGUUUACCAAAAACACAGCAGCGUGCUAAGCCGUAAGGCGCUGUAUACGCUGUGACUCCUGCCCGGUGCUGGAAGGUUACGGGGAUGGGUUAGUCCUUCGGGACGAAGCUCUGAACCUAAGCCCCAGUAAACGGCGGCCGUAACUAUAACGGUCCUAAGGUAGCGAAAUUCCUUGUCGGGUAAGUUCCGACCUGCACGAAUGGAGUAACGACUUCCCUACUGUCUCAACCAUAGACCCAGCGAAAUUGAAGUACGAGUAAAGAUGCUCGUUAGCUGCAGAAGGACGGAAAGACCCCGUGGACCUUUACUAUAACUUGAUGUUGUGUUUUGUCAUAUGUUGUGUAGGAUAGGUGGGAGACAAGGAAGCAUGGACGCUAGUCUGUGUGGAGUCAUCGUUGAAAUACCACCCUGCAUAUGGUGAGGCUCUAACCUAGACCCGUUAUCCGGGUUGGGGACAGCGUCAGGCGGGUAGUUUAACUGGGGCGGUUGCCUCCUAAAGAGUAACGGAGGCGCCCAAAGGUUCCCUCAGCCUGGUUGGCAAUCAGGCGUCGAGUGCAAUGGCAAAAGGGAGCUUGACUGCGAGACCUACAAGUCGAGCAGGAGCGAAAGCUGGGCAUAGUGAUCCGGCGGUUGCGUGUGGAAGCGCCGUCGCUCAACGGAUAAAAGGUACCCCGGGGAUAACAGGCUAAUCUUGCCCAAGCGUCCAUAGCGACGGCAAGGUUUGGCACCUCGAUGUCGGCUCAUCGCAUCCUGGGGCUGAAGCAGGUCCCAAGGGUUGGGCUGUUCGCCCAUUAAAGCGGUACGCGAGCUGGGUUCAGAACGUCGUGAGACAGUUCGGUCCCUAUCCUCUGUAGCCGUAGGUGAAUUGAGGAAAGCUGUCCCUAGUACGAGAGGACCGGGACGGACGCAGCUCUCGUGUGCCAGUUGUCCUGCCAAGGGCAUGGCUGGUUAGCGACCUGCGGAAAGGAUAACCGCUGAAAGCAUCUAAGCGGGAAGCCUCUUCCGAGAUGAAUUCACCCACAGGGUUAACCUGGUAAGGCCCGUGGUAGACCACCACGUUGAUAGGCCGGAAGUGUAAGCGUGGCAACACGUUCAGCUGACCGGUACUAAUCGGCCGAGGGCUUGAAU
rnacentral:rRNA from 1 species